CAUCUAAAACACAUGCUUGACAUCAGCAUCAGAGUGAAAUAAGGAAGACGCUAUCGUGGUGUCAAGGAUUUGCAGUUUACAAGGUCUAGUCAUUGAGAUUUGGAGAAAAUUUGGUAGGAAAAAUUACAUUUUUGAGCAUCCUACAGUUUCCGUUUUCACUGUAUUUUUCUAUUUUGAAUGCUUCUUAAGCUCUUUUCCAACUUCUUUCAUAAAUUCUCUUAUUAGCAUCAGAAAAUCAGGAAUUAUUAAUGGUGUUCUGAACUUAUUGAAGAACAACCUUAGUAGCUUAGAUUUAUUAUCGUCUUUUCUAUUUCGUCAUCUUAGCUCGAUUAUCUAUUCUGAUUACUUUUGUGCUUACCCUGCUAAUUCAGCAUUGGUAGGAACAUAUGUUUACUCUUCUGAUAAUGAUGGAACGUUGUUUUUCGCAUGUUAUUAUGUUUAUUAUUGCCUAUUAAGCAAGCAGUAUAAUGGUUUCACUUUCUUUUCCCUAACUUGUAGCAGUGCCCUCAAAAGCGUUGGGCCCUGCCAGAUAUAUGGUUUCUUAAAAUUCUGUUCAGCUUUUGUUUAUAUCACCUAAUUUCUCAUGGAGCAGAAACUCUGUGAUAGCAUGUUUCAAGUUACUUAAAUUGGAAAUGCACAUUUACUUGUCUGCUUUGUAGCACGGACACUUCAAUUAGGGUAAUGUGUCGUGUCCGACACUCCUCGGACACUCUACCAUAAACAUUUUUCAAUCUUUACUUAAAAUAUUAUAUAUUUUUAAUUCAAAAUUAUUAGUAAAUAACAAAUAAGUACUCACAUUUAAAAAAUUUCAACAAAAAAAAAUAAAUAAAUAAAUAAAUAAAAAGUAUAAAACUAAAUUUAUAUUAUAUAAAUGAAAUUUUUUAAAUAAUUUAAUCAACGUGUCGACGACGUAUCGUGUCGGUACAUUUAGAAAAAUCACAUGUCGGUGUAUUCGACACGUAUCGUGCUGGACACACGUGUUUAUGUUGGUGCAUCAUAGCUUUUCUACUUAUGUAUAAAAGAUUAAUUUUGCUUGCUUUUUGAGUUAAUCUUUUAUUUAAUUGUCUAUACUAAUCGUUAAUUUCUCUUGUUUCCCCUUCCACUUUUCACCCAGACAUCUGGUUUUCAAACACGAUAAAUAUCCGUAAAGCUUCAAAUUGUAACCUUGUUAGCAGUCUCACAAGAAGCGAAACUUGUCUUUGAGUAUUGUAAUUUGGAAUACUCAAAUGAGAUUGUCUAUAAAAAAAGAAAUUUAUUUAUGCUUACAAUCGGCGGAAUUAAUUUGAUUAUCUAUUUCUCCCCACUACAUCCUGACGAAUGAUUGAUAGGUAUAAUGUUAUAUCAAUGGCAGUGUUAAUGUCGGUACUAUCUCCUUGCUUCUUCCCCAGAUAUAUUAAUAUCAUUGACAUUCUCUAAGAUUACCAGAUAGUCCUUUUUCUCAUCUUCUCCCUUGUAAUUAGAAGAAGGGUUCUUGAUAUCUAUUGCCUACAGUUGCUCCUUUUUCUUUAGAUGUGCUUUUCAUUGAAACAUUUUUGAAUUCUAACACGGUACACUUUGGCACGCUGGUUUAUAUAUUACUUGCAGAUCAUACGAGAGUUGAGUCUGAAGCAAGCAGAGCACAGGGCAGCAACCUCGGGAGGGAAUAAAUUAUGACUUGAAUUAUGUGUAUGUGAAAGGUAACGUCAGCAAAGUAUUUUACCCUAUUCCUUGAGGUUUUGAAACGCAUAUACCUUGCAUUUAAAUUUAAAUUUUGUUUUUUAGCCUUUCUGCAGGCAACUUUGCAAAAAUGAAGCAAUCUUUAAUUCUUUUUAUUAAAAUGAAUUUUAUUUUUAAUUUUAUUUUCCUAGUGUUGAUGAUGUUAGGUGCAUUGAUAUUCAAGUUGAAAGAUUUCGAAUGUCUAGCUUGAAUACUCAUUUUUUUUUUUGGUCAAGGAUAUGAAUCUAUUAUAAAAUUUUCUGGAGUGUGGCUUUGUGUAUUGUUGUUUAU
rnacentral:lncRNA from 1 species